rnacentral:rRNA from 1 species
GAUGAACGCUGGCGGCGUGCCUAAUACAUGCAAGUCGAGCGGAAAGACGCUGAUCUUGCUCCUCUGACGUUAGCGGCACACGGGUGUGAAACACGUGUAUAAUCCACCUAUCAUACGGGUAUCAUUUCGGGACACCGGCUCUUAUACCGGAGAAUAUCUUGCAGCGUAUUGGGCAAUAGUGAGAUACGGCUUUGGUGUCUGGUCUCGAGGGUUCCCCGCUGGAUUAGGUGGUUGGGAAUGUAACGGCUUACGAAGGCUACGAUGCGUAACCGAACUGAGAGGGUGAACGGCCACACUGGAAGUGAGACGCGGUACAGACACCGACGGGAGGCAGAAGUAGGGAAUCGUCCGAAAUGUGCGAAAGCUUGACGGAGGAACGCAGCGUGGAUGAUGAAGGGCUUCGGAUCGUAAAACGCUGUUCUGAGGGAAGACCAAAUGUGUAAGUAACUAUGCACGUCUGGACGGUACCUAAAAAGAAAGCCAGGGCUAACUACGU